AACGCAUUUCAGUGACGUGUAGAAACCGAAAGAAUAACACCAAAGAUACUGUGGUUUGCAUGGAUUUAAACGCCGAGUUAACUUGUUUUACGAUUGGUUUCCUUCUUCAUUGGAGAUAGAACACCGGUGGCGUUAAUCCAUUUAGUUUUGUCGCCUUGAACAGGUUAAGCAAUCCUCAAUCUGAUGGUGUUGGCUAUCACAAUCCUGACGUCUGGAGGAUCAAUCACUCCUGCUUAAUUAACUCAGGACAGGAGGACCCUGCAUCAAGGCCUUGAGGGAAUGUCAGGAUUUCCCAUGGCAGAAUGCCAUAGACUUGAUUCGGGCCCGGACUGGUGAGGUCGGAAACGCUCCGGAUGGGAAUAAUGCAGGGCACUGGGUAGGAUGGUGCUUUGUCUCCGUACACAACAGAAAGGGACAACCGAAACACGGCUUAGCCUAACCUGUUUUAUCUGGGGAUUCCGCUGCUUAUUGAAGCUGGCGGGGUGAGGUCCUUGCCUACCUACCAGGGAUUUGACUACAUUACAAUCUCAGAGAGAGACACUUGGGACCAAUGGAUCCAAGCUUAUCUGGCUGCUCGUGCAUGGAGCAUGGAGCAUGGAGGCGCUACCAGGAGACAGGCCAGUACAUCAGGAGAUGUGGAGGAGGCCGUAGGAGGGCAACAACCCAGCAGCAGGACCUUUACCUCUGCCUUUGUGCAAGGAGGAGCACUGCCAGAGCCCUGCAAAAUGACCUCCAGCAGGCCACAAAUGUGCAUGUGUCUGCUCAAACGGUCAGAAACAGACUCCAUGAGGGUGGUAUGAGGGCCCGAAGUCCACAGGUGGGGGUUGUGCUUACAGCCCAACACCGUGCAGGACGUUUGUCAUUUGCCAGAGAACACCAAGAUUGGCAAAUUCGCCACUGGCACCCUGUGCUCUUCAAAGAUGAAAGCAGGUUCACACUGAGCACAUGUGGCAGACGUGACAGUCUGGAGACGCCGUGGAGAACGUUCUGCUGCCUGCAACAUCCUCCAGCAUGGUGUGGGGUGGCAUUUCUUUGGGGGGCCGCACAGCCCUCCAUGUGCUCGCCAGAGGUAGCCUGACUGCCAUUAGGUUCCAAGAUGAGAUCCUAAGACCCCUUGUGAGACCAUAUGCUGGUGUGGUUGGCCCUGGGUUCCUCCUAAUGCAAGACAAUGCUAGACCUCAUGUGGCUGGAGUGUGUCAGCAGUUCCUGCAAGAGGAAGGCAUUGAUGCUAUGGACUGGCCCACCCGUUCCCCAGACCUGAAUCCAAUUGAGCACAUCUGGGACAUCAUGUCUCGCUCCAUCCACCAACGCCACGUUGCACCACAGACUGUCCAGGAGUUGGCGGAUGCUUUAGUCCAGGUCUGGGAGGAGAUCCCUCAGGAGACCAUCCGCCACCUCAUCAGGAGCAUGCCCAGGCGUUGUAGGGAGGUCAUACAGGCAGGUGGAGGCCACACACACUGAGCCUCAUUGUUUUAAGGACAUUACAUCAAAGUUGGAUCAGCCUGUAGUGUAGUUUUCCACUUUAAUUUUGUGUGUGACUCCAGACCUCCAUGGGUUGAUAAAUUUGAUUUCCAUUGAUACUUUUUGUAUGAUUUUGUUGUCAGCACAUUCAACUAUGUAAAGAAAAAGUAUUUGAUACGAAUAUUUCAUUCAUUCAGAUCUAGGAUGUGUUAUUUUAGUGUUCCCUUUCUUUUUUUGAGCAGUGUGUAUUUUGUUCUAUUUAUGCUCAGAUUUGAAAAUGCUAGUUACCAUAAAAGUAGACAUCAUGCAAGACUACAAAUCACUGCAAACUCCUGCACCUCAUCUUUAUCUGACUCAUUUGCUAACAGGUAUUGUGUCAAUUUAAAACUUGCCCUAGACAGUUCACAGAAUUGUCAAUUUAAGUAAAUUUAGCCAAUUUAUGAAUUACUAAAUUUAGUUAACAUUAGAUAGUUAAUCCAGAAAUCCUUACCUUUGCCUCGAUUCGGCAGUCUCAUCCAGAGCACCAUGGCAUUUGUAGUUGUGUAUGAUAGCCACAUUAGCAGUUUACUAGCGUUUAAUUUUUUUGGGGGGGGGUAAAUACAGGAAAAUAUAUUGAUGAAAGUCACCUUGUCUGAGAGAGAUUUACACAGUUAUCGAAACGUCAUGCCAGUGUAAGCCUACACGAAACACAGCCCUUAUUUUAAGAGUUCCUAAAAUCCCCUAUGGGAACAAUGAAUGGUGGAAAAACGUUUAUCCUUUCUGACCACUAGGAGCAGUCCUCCAUAGGAAUGAAUGAAAUUCUACAGUAUUCAAAUAAAUUGUUUAAAUUACAUGUAUUUAAUUAAGUAUGUACAGUAUUUGUUGUAGAGGUGGCAGUAACAUUAGUAAUUAUACUUUAAGGAAAAACUUCAUACAUAAUAUAAGAUUUUGUGUGUGUUAAGUUCACAUAAUAUUAUGUAAAAGUAUGCAUUAAGGCACAUUUGUCAAACUAA